rnacentral:rRNA from 1 species
ACUACAAGCAAUGCUUAAAACCCAAAGGAUUUGACGGCGUCCCACCGACCUAGAGGAGCCUCUUCUAUAAUCGAUAACCCCCGCUUUAACUAACCAUCCCUUGCCUAUCAGUGUGUAUACCUCCGUCGAAAGCUUACCAUGUGAACGUCUUCAGUAAGUUUAAUGAUUAUCAUCAACACGUCAGGUCAAGGUGCAGCUCACGGAAUGGAAAGAAAUGGGCUAGAAUUUCUACCCUAGAACAAACGAAAGGCUACGUGAAACCCUAGCUCCGAAGGCGGAUUUAGUAGUAAAAAGAAACUAGAGUGUUCUUUUUAACCCGGUUCUGGGACGCGUACACACCGCCCGUCACCCUCUUCGAUAGUAUUCUACCUGUUCAUAACCCACUCUCACGCCAUAGAAGAGGCAAGUCGUAACAUGGUAA